ACGGGUGAGUAACGCGUGGGAAUCUACCGUACCCUACGGAAUAGCUCUGGGAAACUGGAAGUAAUACCGUAUACGCCCUUCGGGGAAAGAUUUAUCGGGGUAUGAUGAGCCCGCGUUGGAUUAGCUAGUUGGUGGGGUAAAGGCCUACCAAGGCGACGAUCCAUAGCUGGUCUGAGAGGAUGAUCAGCCACAUUGGGACUGAGACACGGCCCAAACUCCUACGGGAGGCAGCAGUGGGGAAUAUUGGACAAUGGGCGCAAGCCUGAUCCAGCCAUGCCGCGUGAGUGAUGAAGGUCUUAGGAUUGUAAAGCUCUUUCACCGGAGAAGAUAAUGACGGUAUCCGGAGAAGAAGCCCCGGCUAACUUCGUGCCAGCAGCCGCGGUAAUACGAAGGGGGCUAGCGUUGUUCGGAAUUACUGGGCGUAAAGCGCACGUAGGCGGGUAUUUAAGUCAGGGGUGAAAUCCCAGAGCUCAACUCUGGAACUGCCUUUGAUACUGGGUAUCUUGAGUAUGGAAGAGGUAAGUGGAAUUGCGAGUGUAGAGGUGAAAUUCGUAGA
rnacentral:rRNA from 1 species